AACGUACGCUGGCGGCACGCCUAACACAUGCAAGUCGAACGCAGUAGCAAUACUGAGUGGCAGACGGGUGAGUAACAUGUGGGAAUCUGCCUUGUGGUUCAGGACAACAUUGGGAAACCGAUGCUAAUACUGGAUAAGCCCUUACGGGGAAAGUUUUAAUGCCAUAAGAUGAGCCCGCAUUUGAUUAGUUAGUUGGUGAGGUAAUGGCUCACCAAGACAAUGAUCAAUAGCUGAUCUGAGAGGAUGAUCAGCCACACUGGGACUGAGACACGGCCCAGACUCCUACGGGAGGCAGCAGUGGGGAAUCUUGCACAAUGGAGGAAACUCUGAUGCAGCGAUGCCGCGUGAGUGAAGAAGGCCUUUGGGUUGUAAAGCUCUUUUGUAGGGGAAGAUAAUGACUGUACCCUAAGAAUAAGGUCCGGCUAACUUCGUGCCAGCAGCCGCGGUAAUACGAAGGGACCUAGCGUAGUUCGGAAUUACUGGGCGUAAAGCGCGCGUAGGCCGUUGAGUUAGUUAAUUGUGAAAUCCCAAAGCUUAACUUUGGAACUGCAAUUAAAACUGCUCGACUAGAGUUUGAUAGAGGAAAGCGGAAUACAUAGUGUAGAGGUGAAAUUCGUAGAUAUUAUGUAGAACACCAGUUGCGAAGGCGGCUUUCUGGAUCAACACUGACGCUGAGGCGCGAAAGUAUGGGUAGCAAAGAGGAUUAGAUACCCUCGUAGUCCAUACCAUAAACGAUGAUUGCUAGAUGUUGGAAAUUUAUUUUCAGUAUCGCAGCUAACGCAUUAAGCAAUCCGCCUGGGGAGUACGACCGCAAGGUUAAAACUCAAAUGAAUUGANGGGACCCGCACAAGCGGUGGAGCAUGUGGUUUAAUUCGAANAUACGCGCAGAACCUUACCAACCCUUGACAUGUCUGUCGCGAGUUUAGGAACUANACU
rnacentral:rRNA from 1 species